GAAUACGUUCCCGGGCCUUGUACACACCGCCCGUCACACCACGAGAGUUUGUAACACCCGAAGUCGGUGAGGUAACCUUUUAGGAGCCAGCCGCCGAAGGUGGGACAGAUGAUUGGGGUGAAGUCGUAACAAGGUAGCCGUAUCGGAAGGUGCGGCUGGAUCACCUCCUUUCUAAGGA
rnacentral:rRNA from 1 species